rnacentral:rRNA from 1 species
AUGGCUGUCGUCAGCUCGUGUCGUGAGAUGUUGGGUUAAGUCCCGUAACGAGCGCAACCCCUGCAUUCAGUUGCCAUCGGGUGAAGCCGGGCACUCUGGAAGGACUGCCAUCGACAAGAUGGAGGAAGGUGGGGACGACGUCAAGUCAUCAUGGCCCUUAUGUCCAGGGCGACACACGUGCUACAAUGGCCGGCACAACGGGAAGCGAGUUCGCGAGGACGAGCGGAUCCCUUAAAGCCGGUCGCAGUUCGGAUUGAAGUCUGCAACUCGACUUCAUGAAGCUGGAAUCGCUAGUAAUCGCAGAUCAGCCAAGCUGCGGUGAAUACGUUCCCGGGCCUU